GUCUACAGCUAUACCACCCUGAAUACACCUGAGCUCGUCUGAUCUCAGAAGCUAAGCAGGGUCGGGCCUGGUUAGUAGUUGGAUGGGAGACCACUGAGAAUACCGGGUGCUGUAGGCU